UAAAUAAAUAAAAUACCUCUUUUUUGCAUAAUAAACAUAAAUAUUUACAUGGAUACAAAAACAAUAUGCUAUCAUAAAAUAAAUACCAUGUAAUUUUAGUGAAAGGUUGUUAUCAUUAUUUUUUAAUAUAGGAAUAAGAUGUAAAUAAUUUAAAUGAAAGAAGAUAGAGAACUAAAGAGUAACAGAAAGAGUGUCAUGAAGUAAUAAAAGAUGCAACCAUGGGCCUAAGGCCCAAUAACACAAACAACCCCCCCCCCCCCCCNAAAAAUAAAUAAAUAAAUCAAAUAAUAACAUAUCCCUAGGGAAAUAAAUUGGCGCUGCAGUCGAAAGAAAGUUAGAAAAGCAACUUUCACCUAUGCUAUUUCAAUAGCUCAUGGUACUGGCAGGAGGAAAAGGAAUAAGUCUCAAAUACUCAUCUUUUCUGUUAUCUCUCACAAACCCUCCACAUGGAGAAACAUGUAAAAUUACUCAUAAUAUUUACAAUAUUUUCAUACUAACUUAUAAUCCAUAUACCAACUAAAAACACUCCCACUGUCCUAGAGCGAUUUACACCUAUACAAUAAUACCAUACACAACCACACUUAGAGCAUCAGGAUAGGAAUUCUGGACUUCCAAAACUGUUUUUACAUAAGCAAUUCCAAUGGUUUACCGUAGAGAACAAAAUGAAAUUUAAAAAUUUACUGCAAUUUGGUGUGUGGUUUAUUUGGAAUAUGAGAUAUCAAAUCAUAAGGAAAACCACCAACUUGUAUUACAUUUGCAAGCUGCAAAAAAAUAAAUUAUUUAUGGUAUAUGAUAUAGCCAGACCAGAUCCGAUAUGUUCAUGGUACCAUGGAUAAUCGAGAUUAAUAACAAACUAACAUUCUAAAGAAUAGCUCAACGAAAAUCCAAUCGACAACCCAUACAUAUCUAGCAAGCAACUCUCAUGUUUACAAAGGGAAGUGUAAAUCGAAAAAUUACCAAUCGAGUUGUAAAUAAUACUGUUGUUGUUCGAAGGCGGGCAGGCGGCAGAGAAGAAAUGUUUGUGAGUGGUGGUUUCGGCGAUGAGGGUGUUGGAGAGGUGGCUAGCACGGCGGCGGCAAUCGCGGGGGUCCGAAGGUGAAAGAGAUUCCGGCGAUGGUGAAAGGGGUACCGGUGAUUUGAUGAAGGUUGUAGGUCCAGUGGGUUUAUAGUUGUUGGAGGAAGUGGAAGAUAUUGAGGUUGAAGGGGAAUCUAGUGGUGUUUGGUGCGGUUGUCGCUUGGUGUGGACGUGUGGUGGUUCACGCCGGAGGCGCGAUUGUGAGUUUGUUGCGAUGAAAUGAAACGGAGAAGGUGAGAGUUAUGGCGGAUUUGAAGCGUGAUGGUUGGUGCGCCGGCGAUUCGCGUGGUGGCUUUUGGAUGAGCAGAGAAGAAGAGGCUGGGUUUGGCGGCGAGCUCGAUGGAGCGUUUUGGUUUUGUGGUGGAGACGAUGAGAGAAAAGGGAUUUUGUAAGUGAGGUAGGUGGUGAGUGAGAGGAAAAAAAGUUUUUUUAAUUUUAUUUUCUUUUUCAGAGAGAAUAGUGGAGAGGAGGGUAGCUAGAGUGAGUGAGAGAGACGGGUGUAGUGAGGGGAAAAGAGAGAGAGCUGAAGAGAGUGAAAGGAAACACGAUGUGUGAUGUCGAGAGGGCAACGUGAGG
rnacentral:lncRNA from 1 species